GAUGAACGCUGGCGGCGUGCUUAACACAUGCAAGUCGAACGAAACACCUUAUUUGAUUUUCUUCGGAACUGAAGAUUUGGCGAUUGAGUGGCGGACGGGUGAGUAACGCGUGGGUAACCUGCCCUGUACAGGGGGAUAACAGUCAGAAAUGACUGCUAAUACCGCAUAAGACCACAGCACCGCAUGGUGCAGGGGUAAAAACUCCGGUGGUACAGGAUGGACCCGCGUCUGAUUAGCUGGUUGGUGAGGUAACGGCUCACCAAGGCGACGAUCAGUAGCCGGCUUGAGAGAGUGAACGGCCACAUUGGGACUGAGACACGGCCCAAACUCCUACGGGAGGCAGCAGUGGGGAAUAUUGCACAAUGGGGGAAACCCUGAUGCAGCGACGCCGCGUGAGUGAAGAAGUAUUUCGGUAUGUAAAGCUCUAUCAGCAGGGAAGAAAAUGACGGUACCUGACGAAGAAGCCCCGGCUAACUACGUG
rnacentral:rRNA from 1 species